rnacentral:rRNA from 1 species
GAUGAACGCUGGCGGCGUGCCUAAUACAUGCAAGUCGAACGAAAAGACGAGGAGUUUGUUCCUUUGACGUUAGCGGCGGGCGGGAGUGUAACACGUGUAUCACCCCCUUAUAAUUCGGGGAAAAUUUGGGAAAACCGGCUAUAAUACCGGAGAAUAUAUUGAACCGCGGUGGGGAUUGGAAAAUUACGGUUUUGGUGUAUCUAAUAGCUGCUUCCGCGCCGCAUUGGCUGGUUGUUAAGGUAACGGCUUACCAAGGCAACGAGGCGUAGCCGAGGUGAGAGGGGGAUCGGCCACACUGGAACUGAGCCACGGUCCAGACUCCUACGGGAGGCAGCAGUAGGGAAUCUUCCGCAAUGGGCGAAAGCCUGACGCAACAACGCCGCGUGAGUGAUGAAGGCCUUCGGAUCGUAAAGCUCUGUUAUUAGGGAAGAACAAAUGUGGAAUUAACUAUACACGUCUUGACGGUACCUAAUCAGAAAGCCACGGCUAACUACGUG